GAUGAACGCUGACGGCGUGCCUAAUACAUGCAAGUCGAGCGAACGGACGAGAAGCUUGCUUCUCUGAUGUUAGCGGCGGACGGGUGAGUAACACGUGGAUAACCUACCUAUAAGACUGGGAUAACUUCGGGAAACCGGAGCUAAUACCGGAUAAUAUUUUGAACCGCAUGGUUCAAAAGUGAAAGACGGUCUUGCUGUCACUUAUAGAUGGAUCCGCGCUGCAUUAGCUAGUUGGUAAGGUAACGGCUUACCAAGGCAACGAUGCAUAGCCGACCUGAGAGGGUGAUCGGCCACACUGGAACUGAGACACGGUCCAGACUCCUACGGGAGGCAGCAGUAGGGAAUCUUCCGCAAUGGGCGAAAGCCUGACGGAGCGACGCCGCGUGAGUGAUGAAGGUCUUCGGAUCGUAAAACUCUGUUAUUAGGGAAGAACAUAUGUGUAAGUAACUGUGCACAUCUUGACGGUACCUAAUCAGAAAGCCACGGCUAACUACGUG
rnacentral:rRNA from 1 species